CGGCCAGGGGGCCGGGAUGUUCGGGAUGCGUCAGGUCCUGAAUGACCCAGGGGUACAGGGGGUACCUCCGCACUAGCGGGCCGGGCCAGGCAAAGC
ncrna:Pseudomonas nitroreducens TX1 ivy-DE RNA